rnacentral:tRNA from 1 species
GGAGAGUUAGCUUAAAAGGUAAAGCAAUCCACUACUAAAGAUAAAGGUUCAACUCCUUUACUCUCCACCA